UACGUAGGGUGCGAGCGUUGUCCGGAAUUAUUGGGCGUAAAGAGCUCGUAGGCGGUGUGUCACGUCGGCCUGAAAACCUGCAGCUUAACUGUGGGCGUGCGGUCGAUACGGGCAUCACUGGAGUUCGGCAGGGGGAGACUGGAAUUCCUGGUGUAGCGGUGAAAUGCGCAGAUAUCAGGAGGAAACACCGGUGGCGAAGGCGGGGACUC
rnacentral:rRNA from 1 species